GCAGUAAUAUGAGUUGGUAUUUACAAUACGACAUAUAGAUAUAGUUGUCUUAUAUCGAGGAACACAACUUUAUAGUCUUUCGACGUAGUGUAUGGUAUUUCGUAAUUACCCUCUCAGAAUAAAGAUUAUAAAGUCUUCUUUAUGCCAUCUCGUAAAAAUUGCGUGAAAAAAUUCCCACGUAAAAAUUACAGCGCGCAUCAUAAUCUUCUAAAACGCUCUAUCUAGAGGUCCAGUAAUACCAAAGUGGCUUCCAUU